GACGAACGCUGGCGGCGUGCUUAACACAUGCAAGUCGAACGGAAAGGCCCUGCUUUUGUGGGGUGCUCGAGUGGCGAACGGGUGAGUAACACGUGAGUAACCUGCCCUUGACUUUGGGAUAACUUCAGGAAACUGGGGCUAAUACCGGAUAGGAGCUCCUGCUGCAUGGUGGGGGUUGGAAAGUUUCGGCGGUUGGGGAUGGACUCGCGGCUUAUCAGCUUGUUGGUGGGGUAGUGGCUUACCAAGGCUUUGACGGGUAGCCGGCCUGAGAGGGUGACCGGCCACAUUGGGACUGAGGUACGGCCCAGACUCCUACGGGAGGCAGCAGUGGGGAACAUUGCACAAUGGGCGGAAGCCUGAUGCAGCAACGCCGCGUGCGGGAUGACGGCCUUCGGGUUGUAAACCGCUUUCGCCUGUGCCGAAGCGUGAGUGACGGUAAUGGGUAAAGAAGCACCGGCUAACUACGUG
rnacentral:rRNA from 1 species